rnacentral:rRNA from 1 species
GACGAACGCUGGCGGCGUGCUUAACACAUGCAAGUCGAACGGUGAAGCGCCUUCCUUUUUGGUGGGUGUGGAUGAGCGGCGAACGGGUGAGUAACACGUGAGUAACCUGCCCCCUUCUUCUGGAUAACCGCAUGAAAGUGUGGCUAAUACGGGAUAUUCUGGGUCUGUCGCAUGAUGGGUCUGGGAAAGAUAUUGUUUCGGUGGGGGAUGGGCUCGCGGCCUAUCAGCUUGUUGGGGGGGUGAUGGCCUACCAAGGCUGUGACGGGUAGCCGGCAUGAGAGGGUGGACGGUCACACUGGGACUGAGACACGGCCCAGACUCCUACGGGAGGCAGCAGUGGGGAAUAUUGCACAAUGGGCGCAAGCCUGAUGCAGCGACGCCGCGUGAGGGAUGGAGGCCUUCGGGUUGUGAACCUCUUUCGCCAGUGAAGCAGGCCUGCCUCGUUUGUGGGUGGGUUGACGGUAGCUGGAUAAGAAGCGCCGGCUAACUACGUG